CCUAGCUUGUACGGCUAACAGUUUGUCCGGCUCACAUGUUAGAAAAAAACUCUCUGAAAAGUGGAAAAAGCAUAAUAUAUCUCUUUUAAAAUAUAACCUUGAGCUUCACCAACUAACACUCAGUUAGCUACAGACGUGGGAACUUGCACUCAGGGACCCGUAAGGCCAAAGGUCCUGAACAUGGAGAUGAAAGAUGGAGAAAAGAUGGUAGAAAUGAUGAUCUACACAUACGUAUAUUCCUCGCCAGGAGUUGAUUUCCCAUCCAACUCCUUCCUGUGUGAAAGCCGUCAGGUCACCUCCAUCGUUCUUUGUCACUGUCUGCCACAUUUUGGGGCCGAUCUGCUUGCUACCACCCUACUGAGCUGACCUCCAGCUAACGCCGGGAUCUGGGCUCUUGCUGAUGUCAGGCAGCUGCUAAUUGGAGAGAGGAUAACAAAUCGUAUUAUCGACGGGCCGAUUGUGAUCCUUGAUAUCGUUGUCAACAAGCACUGUAGCCUCUUCUGGUCCUCCAUUUCGCUUGAUGUAGAC